rnacentral:lncRNA from 1 species
GGGAAGGCAGAGAGAGUAGUUCAUGGCCACAGGACUUGGCCACCUCUGGGCAACACAUAAUGCUUGCUAAGCUAAUGACUGUAGGGAUAUAGAACUGGCCCUCAGCCUCUCUGUCUUCCUUUGGCCUCUGCUCUUCCUGCUGCCUUCUCUCUUUGACCACGAUGACACACUUUCCAUAGGCCUUCCUCACCACAUCACAGAACUCAGAGAAGAGGCUGUCUUCUUGUUUGAUACACAGCUCGUCUCUUAGGAACACCCGAUAUUUCCAAGGCACCCAUCCUUGACUACCCGCAGCAUGCACAAUACACCAAGUUGGGGUUUGUAUGAAAUAUCCAUCACUAAUAUCUUCCCCAGUUACGAGACUUUCUGGGAUAUUGGUUUCCCCAAAAUAUACGGUC